rnacentral:sRNA from 1 species
ACAUGCGUAUUUUAGUGUUUCCAUAAUUGAUUCGGCUGCUAUUUCUUAAUGCGGUGUCUCGUUAAUGAAAGGAAAUGCUGACAUACCACAUUGAACUUGGCCCUCAUCGGGGGGUGAACAAAACAAUAACUUACGAAUUUCUCUGUGCCUGAAAAAUAAUUAAACUUUUUUCUUCUUCUAACCACGGCAGACAUACUGCUGCACAGCCGGCAUUUGGCAUUACGAGUUGUAAACAAUCCUCCAGGGUUCCACAGAGAAAUGUCGUUGUUGGGCAAAUGACAUUUUGACAAAUGACAUAAGUUCUUGUACCAUGGUGCAUUUACAGUGUGAAAGCCGUAUGUGGGUGUAUUAUUGGUGAGAGCAAGAGAAACAAAUGGUGCGAGAGAAAGAGUAUCACUAUUUAGGUGAAGGUGUUGUGGGGAUGUGAUGUGCGUGGCCCUACUUGGCAUGUAGGUCAGCCAAUUAUUUAAGGCUCGGUUUUGGCGUGCGAGGCAUUUUUGUUGUUGUUUGAAUAUGUUUUGCGAGGAUGCACAAAAAUACAAAUAACUUUAUAACCAUAUACAAGUCAUAUGAAGUAGGUUAGUUUUAAACUAGCGAGUUUGUGAGAUGCGAAUAUAUAUUAUUAUACAGACAAGGUUUUAUAAAGGCGAAUUUGUUGUACAUAUAACGACCAAACGGCUGAAUGGAUUUGAAUGAAAUUGACAUCAAACGAAAAAUAUUAGCUGUGUUCGGGAACUCAAAAAUUUGUGCAAAUUUGCAUUCGAAGGGCCUCUAAACCUGCUCAAAGGACAUGUCGCCGAUUUAAAUAUAUCUGGGUCUAAAUGAAA